rnacentral:rRNA from 1 species
CACGUAGGGGGCAAGCGUUGUCCGGAUUCAUUGGGCGUAAAGAGCUCGUAGGCGGCUCAGUAAGUCGGGUGUGAAACCCUCAGGCUCAACCUGGGGACGCCACUCGAUACUGCUGUGGCUAGAGUCCAGUAGGGGAGUGUGGAAUUCCCGGUGUAGCGGUGAAAUGCGCAGAUAUCGGGAGGAACACCAGAGGCGAAGGCGAGUUCCUGGACAAUUGCUGACACUCAGGCACGAAAGCGUGGGUAGCCAAAGGG